AAACUCCCUUUUUUGGUUUACGCACCCUUGCAACCAAAAUUUAUAAGUUACGACAUGUCGCAACUAACAAUUAAUUAAAAAAAAAAUGUCGAUAUCUUAUAAGGUUAAUGAAAAAAGGUGAAAAUAAGCCAAAAUCAAAAUUUAGAAUUUGACCUUGACCUUUGACCUUGACCUAAUUUUCAUUUUUUUGGACCAAGGAUCUUAAAUCAACAGACCCUAGGUCUCUAUCACUUAUAGUUUACCAGUUAGAAAUGCACAUCACUGAUAUCAUAUAUAAAAGGGGGAUUACUCUCAUAUGGAGUCUCCGGAUAGCUUCGGUUGAAAUGAAACAGAACAUCCUAAGGAUAUAACGAGCAAUUUGAAAAAAUAAAUUUGUCGGUUUCUUAUACGGUUGCGAAGGAGUAGUGGCCACAAGAAAAACAGUGUUCGGGGAGAUAACUCUUACAAGGUACAGUUUUUUGUUACGCGGUGUCAGUUUCAGAAGCGUAUUAACUGGUCGAUAUCAUUUACCUUAUAUCUAAGCGAUAUCUUGUGAAACAAAAAAACAGCGAAGGAAAAAAAAGUUGGCGGAAGAAAAAAAAAAAAAAUAAUAAUUAAAAACCAAUUGUUCAGAGAACAAUUGUAGGUCUUCCCACUAGUAAAGAUCUAUUUUGAUAUUGAAAUAUG
rnacentral:lncRNA from 1 species